AACGUAGGAGGCGAGCGUUAUCCGGAUUCACUGGGCGUAAAGCGCGUGCAGGCGGUUUGGUAAGUUGGGCGUGAAAGCUCCCGGCUCAACUGGGAGAGGUCGUCCAAAACUACCAGACUAGAGACCGAUAGAGGAAAAUGGAAUUCCCGGUGUAGUGGUGAAAUGCGUAGAUAUCGGGAGGAACACCAGUGGCGAAGGUGGCUUUCGGGAUCUGUUCUGACGUUCAGACGCGAAAGCUAGGGUAGCAAACGGG
rnacentral:rRNA from 1 species